AGAUAAGCUGUGAUUGCUGUAGAAAAAGGCUAUUCCUUCUCUUGUCACAAGAAUAGCUCUUCUUUAGCGAAAGUCUUCUGAUGUAGGCUUACUUUCUUACGUUCGUUCUUAGCCUGAGAACUAGGAGUUCAGCUUCAAUCCCAUUUGCUUUCUUUGGCGACUGUAGCCUUAGAGAGCCUUCCCUUACAGAUGCGCUAUUCCCCUCAAAUCUCCUUAUUAGCGAGGGAAUUGAUUCAAUAUCGCCUUGACCCGAUCCUU
rnacentral:misc_RNA from 1 species